AACGAACGCUGGCGGCAGGCUUAACACAUGCAAGUCGAACGCCCCGCAAGGGGAGUGGCAGACGGGUGAGUAACACGUGGGAACAUGCCCAAAGGUACGGAAUAUUCUCGGGAAACUGGGAGCAAUACCGUAUGUGCCCCGAAAGGGGAAGAUUUAUCGCCUUUGGAUUGGCCCGCGUUGGAUUAGCUAGUUGGUGGGGUAAAAGCCUACCAAGGCGACGAUCCAUAGCUGGUCUGAGAGGACGACCAGCCACACUGGGACUGAGACACGGCCCAGACUCCUACGGGAGGCAGCAGUGGGGAAUCUUGGACAAUGGGCGCAAGCCUGAUCCAGCCAUGCCGCGUGAGUGAUGAAGGCCCUAGGGUUGUAAAACUCUUUCGUGGGGGACGAUAAUGACGGUACCCCAAGAAGAAGCUCGGCUAACUUCGUG
rnacentral:rRNA from 1 species